AAUUGAGGGGGGCUGCUCCUAGUACGAGAGGACCGGAGUGGACGCAUCACUGGUGUUCGGGUUGUCAUGCCAAUGGCACUGCCCGGUAGCUAAAUGCGGAAAAGAUAAGUGCUGAAAGCAUCUAAGCACGAAACUUGCCCCGAGAUGAGUUCUCCCUGAGACUUUGAGUCUCCUGAAGGAACGUUAAAGACGAUGACGUUGAUAGGCCGGGUGUGUAAGCGCAGCGAUGCGUUGAGCUAACCGGUACUAAUGAACCGUGAGGCUUAACCUUACAACGCCGAAGGUGUUU
rnacentral:rRNA from 1 species